GCCAGUGUGGUAUAGUGGUUUGAGCCUUGACUACAGCUCUGGAGACCAGGGUUGGAUUUCCUGCUCAGCCA